rnacentral:rRNA from 1 species
CAGUCGCCACGGGAAUACGGAGGGUGCAAGCGUUAAUCGGAAUUACUGGGCGUAAAGCGCACGCAGGCGGUCUGUCAAGUCAGAUGUGAAAUCCCCGGGCUUAACCUGGGAACUGCAUUUGAAACUGGCAGGCUAGAGUCUUGUAGAGGGGGGUAGAAUUCCAGGUGUAGCGGUGAAAUGCGUAGAGAUCUGGAGGAAUACCGGUGGCGAAGGCGGCCCCCUGGACAAAGACUGACGCUCAGGUGCGAAAGCGUGGGGAGCAAACAGGAUUAGAUACCCGUGUAGUCCCUGUCUCUUAUAC